CCGGCGGCCGUUGCGACGCGCCUCUGUCGCAGCUUGUCGCGACGGGUUCAGCUUCCCGGCGCUCAGCGCACGAGCGUUCCCGUGUCCCCCGUCGUUCGCUCUGCGACCUCCUCCGGCUACUGAGCGUUUGUCGUAGCAAAGAGAAGAAAUCGCGGCGCGUCUCCAGUCCUCUGCCGUUAUCUCGGGUGCUCUGUGGUGACAAAGGGAAUUUGAAGUAGUUUAGUAGAAGCAGUCACAAACCAACCGCUUCGGUGACACAACGUGCGGGGGUAGAACGGGAGCUCGCAGCCGGCAUAGGAGACGAAAGCUCGGGUUAACCUCGCCCCCCGCCUGGCUGCUGCUGGUGAGAUCCUGCUGGCCGGAGGAUCGGUCUGUCACCUGCCUCUUCUGCUCUGGCCUUAGCUGGGUCUGAGGUGAGGAGCGGUGGUGCUUAACCGCUCUGUAUGAAAGGCCACAGCUGUUGAAUGCUUCCUGCUGCACUCGAUCCAGCCCUGCUGCCUGUUCCUGUGUUGGGAAGAGUUUGCUGUCUGAGCUAAGCAGCCCGAGAAGCUGCUCCAAGCCGUAUCAAGAAGCCUGGGAAUGAAUUUAAUGCCUUUUAGAAAGCCUUCGACUCUGCAAAAGUAGCCUGUUGCUCUGAUCCUUCAUUUGACCCGAGUUAGUUUAUCCUUUGUGGUUGACAGGCCACAUAUGAGUCCUCAGGAGACACACAGCACUUGGAAAUGAGGGUCUAUAUCUUAAACAGCAACAAAAAAAGAAGCCCCUUCACCUGUACAGAGCUCAGCACAAAAUUUUCCACACUAUUUCUGGAGAGGGGUCUCAAAUGCCUGUUUCCCUUUUCACCAGCAGGUCACAAACUUAGUCUGCAAGCAUGAAUUAAAGGGUUUUUUGCAGAAAGAAAAAUAUUUUAAUGUGUUAAAUUGUGAUUUAUUUCCCUCUCAACACUUUUUUCCUUAUUUUGGAAAGCAAAAGCUGCUUACGUAACUGCCGAGAGUCAUGGGCUUCGAGCGGCGAGGCAGCCUCUCAUGCAGAAGCAGGCGGACAGCUCAGCGAAACGGGCAGCUAGCGAAACUCGAGCCAGCCCUCCCGACCGCCUGGGCAGGAGCGGGCCCUGCUGAGGGGCUGCGUGUGGGGGCCGGAGCUGAGAGGCUCAGCAGGGUCGGCUGUGCAGCUUAUUCUAAAGAGUUUUCGUGACUGGAGAGCUCCCCAGACUUGCUGACGGGUUAAAUCUCUGGAAGUGCGGAGAAGUCGCUGUGCUUUUGAUGCACACUGGGAAGCCCUGGGGCUGAAGCAGGGGUAUGUGUCUGACAGUCACUAUUACAGAUGCAAAUACGUUGCUAGCUGGUACUUAUUAACGUUAACACAAGGGAUCUGCAGGAAUCACUAAGGGUGAGGAACUUUGAUCCAGUGCAAUUUAAAAGUCCUGGGAUGAUAUAUGAUAGGUGGUUUUGUUUGUUAAUUAUUUCUGGCCUAGCCUAUACUCAGUCCUGGGUAGCUCUGCUGCUUUAAUGCUGUUCUUCAUCUUAGAGCAGUUUGCUCUUCUAUUGCCCUCGUAGAAAAAGUAGUAGAACAUCAUUUUUUUCUUGACUAAUCAGAUCAGGUUUCUCUACUUGAACCCCUGACUGUGGUGAAAACUGCCGUGGAAAAGAUGACUUUUCUCUUAAAAAAUGACAGAUAUACCAUUUUCUGAAAUGACAUUUACUUGUGUCCUGGAGAAGU
ensembl:lncRNA